rnacentral:lncRNA from 1 species
UGUGCUCUGGGGAAGAAAAGCCAACACUUUGGAGUUUGCAACCCUCCCCAGCUCAGAGGCUAAGGAUGGAGAAUGUCAGUCCGCUUGGGACGAUUCCAAAGGGAGUCAGGCCGCCGGAUUUAGGGUCUCCACCAGCCAGGAGUUCGUGAUCUUUUUGGUCUCUGGAGCCAUGCAGUGGGAUUUCCUCUGGCACCCUACCUGAGCGAAGCCUCUUUCACCACAAAGAGGAUACAUGUGUACAUGUGAAAACAUUCUGUGCAGGAGCAUGUGUGUAUGCAGUUACCCAACUAAUCAAAGCCCCUUGCUCCUUCAUUCAUGCACAUGGGGACAAAGGUUCCACAGAGCCAGGCUCAGCUGCCCUCUCCUCCCAGAUCACAGCCAAAGCCUUCCCCACCGGACACAUCUUUCAUCUUUCUGCCAGUGAAAUCAACUGGGCCUAGGAAUUAAAUUCGAGCUAGAAUUCCAAGCUUCUCUCCUAUUGAACAACACCAACACACUAUAUAAAUGUACAUGAAUGUUAAUGUUAUCUGUAUCCCAAAUUUUUAGGUCCCCUUCCUCUUCUCUAGACCUCAGCCAUCACUACCUCCAGGCUUCCAGGGAUCCAGGCCAAAAUUCCCUGUUAGUUUCACUCUCCUUUUCCUUCUCCCAGCUCAGAUUCCCAGCUGGGGCUCCACUUCAUGGGUCUCCUACACCUCCCCAUUUGGGUUCUGAAACUCCAUGAGCCAGAGAACCCCAGGAACUAAACGCUAAGCCUCCUGGACUGCAGAUAAUGAGUCUAAGGAGACCGGAGCCCCUCGGAGCUAGCCAUUGCCAAAGGAUCACAAAAACUCUACAGGGGUUGGAGAUCCUACUCCAUGUC